rnacentral:rRNA from 1 species
UACGUAGGGGGCUAGCGUUGUCCGGAAUCAUUGGGCGUAAAGAGCGUGUAGGCGGUCCGGUAAGUCCGCUGUGAAAGUCGGGGGCUCAACCCUCGAAUGCCGGUGGAUACUGUCGGGCUAGAGUGCGGAAGAGGCGAGUGGAAUUCCUGGUGCAGCGGUGAAAUGCGUAGAUAUCGUAAGGAAGACCAGUGGCGAAGGCGGGUCUCUGGACAGUUCCUGACACUGAGACACGAAGGCCAGGGGAGCAAACGGG